rnacentral:rRNA from 1 species
UGGGGAAUAUUGGACAAUGGGGGGAACCCUGAUCCAGCGACGCCGCGUGAGUGAAGAAGUAUUUCGGUAUGUAAAGCUCUAUCAGCAGGGAAGAAAAUGACGGUACCUGACUAAGAAGCCCCGGCUAACUACGUGCCAGCAGCCGCGGUAAUACGUAGGGGGCAAGCGUUAUCCGGAUUUACUGGGUGUAAAGGGAGCGCAGACGGCUUGGCAAGUCUGAAGUGAAAGCCCGGGGCUUAACCCCGGGACUGCUUUGGAAACUGUGAAGCUAGAGUGUCGGAGAGGUAAGUGGAAUUCCCAGUGUAGCGGUGAAAUGCGUAGAUAUUGGGAGGAACACCGGUGGCGAAGGCGGCUUACUGGACGAUAACUGACGUUGAGGCUCGAAGGCGUGGGGAGCAAACAGGAUUAGAUACCCUGGUAGUCCACGCGGUAAACGAUGAAUACUAGGUGUCGGGGGACAUAGUCUUUCGGUGCCGCCGCUAACGCAUUAAGUAUUCCACCUGGGGAGUACGUUCGCAAGAAUG